CACGUAGGGUGCGAGCGUUGUCCGGAAUUAUUGGGCGUAAAGAGCUCGUAGGCGGUCUGUCGCGUCGGCUGUGAAAACUCGGGGCUCAACCCCGAGCCUGCAGUCGAUACGGGCAGACUGGAGUACUGCAGGGGAGACUGGAAUUCCUGGUGUAGCGGUGGAAUGCGCAGAUAUCAGGAGGAACACCGGUGGCGAAGGCGGGUCUCUGGGCAGUAACUGACGCUGAGGAGCGAAAGUGUGGGGAGCGAACAGG
rnacentral:rRNA from 1 species